rnacentral:rRNA from 1 species
AUGCAGUCGAGCGGUAGGCCCUUCGGGGUACACGAGCGGCGAACGGGUGAGUAACACGUGGGUGAUCUGCCUCGCACUCUGGGAUAAGCCUGGGAAACUGGGUCUAAUACCGGAUAUGACUCCUGGUUGCAUGAUCAGGGGUGGAAAGAUUUAUCGGUGCGAGAUGAGCCCGCGGCCUAUCAGCUUGUUGGUGGGGUAAUGGCCUACCAAGGCGACGACGGGUAGCCGGCCUGAGAGGGCGACCGGCCACACUGGGACUGAGACACGGCCCAGACUCCUACGGGAGGCAGCAGUGGGGAAUAUUGCACAAUGGGCGGAAGCCUGAUGCAGCGACGCCGCGUGAGGGAUGACGGCCUUCGGGUUGUAAACCUCUUUCGACUCCGACGAAGCGAAAGUGACGGUAGGAGUAUAAGAAGCACCGGCCAACUACGUGCCAGCAGCCGCGGUAAUACGUAGGGUGCGAGCGUUGUCCGGAAUUACUGGGCGUAAAGAGCUUGUAGGCGGCUUGUCGCGUCGAUCGUGAAAACUCGGGGCUCAACCCCGAGCUUGCGGUCGAUACGGGCAGGCUUGAGUACUUCAGGGGAGACUGGAAUUCCUGGUGUAGCGGUGAAAUGCGCAGAUAUCACGAGGAACACCGGUGGCGAAAGCGGGUCUCUGGGAAGUAACUGACGCUGAGAAGCGAAAGCGUGGGUAGCGAACAGGAUUAGAUACCCUGGUAGUCCACGCCGUAAACGGUGGGUACUAGGUGGUGGGUUUCUUCACGGGAUCGUGCGUAGCUACGCAUAGUACCCCGCCUGGGGAGU